CACCAAUCUCGCUGGUUUCCCCGCCACCGUUGUCCCUUUGGGAGCUUCAAUUAUUGGCCGAUAAACAGCGUUUGGUGGACCCACAUUGGUCACGGUUCUGAUAAACGCCUUGCUUUUUGCUCCUACUGAUGAGCUUGGGAACAAUGCUGCAAUAGAAGGAUAGUUGAGGUUCUCAGGCGAAGGCCUCUUUACCGGACAAGUCACUGGUGAUCGCGUGAUCACCUGAAUUGCUUUUGGGCUGUAUCCAUUUCCACAAAGGAAGUUCACAUAAUCAUUGUUAGUGAUAUCGUACACAAGUCCUGGAUCCAUUGCACGAUCAAGAUUAAGAUGCCCUGCACCAAAAUCGUAGGGUGUAGAUGCUUUUCCAGUCGCCUCAUCGAUCAUGGGUUGGUUCAGAUUAUCCAAUGUGUUGGCAGUGGUCAUCAUUGCAGACCUAAUUGCUGCAGGACUCCAAUCUGGGUGUGCAGAUUUAAGCAAGGCCGCUGC
rnacentral:misc_RNA from 1 species